rnacentral:rRNA from 1 species
AUUGAACGCUGGCGGCAUGCUUUACACAUGCCAGUCGAACGGCAGCGCGGGCUUCGGCCUGGCGGCGAGUGGCGAACGGGUGAGUAAUGCAUCGGAACGUGCCCAGUAGUGGGGGAUAGCCCGGCGAAAGCCGGAUUAAUACCGCAUACGACCUGAGGGUGAAAGCGGGGGACCGAAAGGCCUCGCGCUAUUGGAGCGGCCGAUGUCGGAUUAGCUAGUUGGUGGGGUAAAGGCUUACCAAGGCGACGAUCCGUAGCUGGUCUGAGAGGACGACCAGCCACACUGGGACUGAGACACGGCCCAGACUCCUACGGGAGGCAGCAGUGGGGAAUUUUGGACAAUGGGGGCAACCCUGAUCCAGCCAUGCCGCGUGCGGGAAGAAGGCCUUCGGGUUGUAAACCGCUUUUGUUCGGGAAGAAAUCCUCUGGGCUAAUACCCCGGGGGGAUGACGGUACCGGAAGAAUAAGCGCCGGCUAACUACGUG